rfam:Populus trichocarpa scaffold_4_contig_187, whole genome shotgun sequence.
UCUAAAACUGCACAUAUGAGCAGAACACUGAAUAGUGUCUUAGUUGUGAGAUAGAUUCAAACUUUUCUUUUGUUACUAAUAUUUGAACUUAAAAACAACAGUAUUGAGUCUUAGUCUCUUCAUGAAUGUUUUAGAACUACAUCUUAGCUUUCCCUU